GGAAUCCUUCGCUGAGGGCAUCUGUGGGAAAAAGGAUGGAGCAGGAGAGUAGACAUCAGAGACCAGAUCAACCACCAUUCUGCCAGUGACCUUAGAGAAAUUGUUGAAUUGCAAGAAACCAAGAGCAGUAGCCACGCAGACUCCAGAUGAGCCUUUGGUUUGGGCAAAUUUUCACAGCAAC
rnacentral:lncRNA from 1 species